rnacentral:rRNA from 1 species
AUUGAACGCUGGCGGCAGGCCUAACACAUGCAAGUCGAACGAGUGGCGGACGGGUGAGUAAUGUCUGGGAAACUGCAUGAUGGAGGGGGAUAAAUACUGGAAACGGUAGCUAAUACCGCAUACCAUCGGAUGUGCCCAGAGGGGAUUAGCUAGUAGGCGGGGUAAAGGCUCACCUAGGCGACGAUCCCUAGCUGGUCUGAGAGGAUGACCAGCCACACUGGAACUGAGACACGGUCCAGACUCCUACGGGAGGCAGCAGUGGGGAAUAUUGCACAAUGGGCGCAAGCCUGAUGCAGCCAUGCCGCGUGUAUGAAGAAGGCCUUCGGGUUGUAAAGUACUUUCAGCGGGGAGGCGUUACCCACAGAAGAAGCACCGGCUAACUCCGUGCCAGCCGCCGCGGUAAUAC